CACAAAAUGCCUGCUUGGAAGCAGAGCCAAGGGGGAUUAAGAAAUUCAGGCAGGCCAACUGGAGAUACAGUCCUCUGAAGGCCCCAAAGAUAAAGGGAAAGAUGACAGAAAAAGGAGUUAUCUUUGGCCCAUUGUCUGGAAACAGAUGAUCCUCCUGAUGUAUCUUCAGGAGAUCAGUAGAAGCCUAACACUACACCACAAGGCCUUCAUCAUUCCCCUCACUUCGUCUCAUCACGUAGGUGUUUUAUCAUCUCACAUCAUCACAAGAAGGGUGUGUCUAUGGACUGCUUUCUUGGGGUCCCAGAGGAAUACCUGAAGCUCAACAGUAAGGAGCAUGUCUGAGGGACAGCUGUGGAAGGAGUACUUACUGCUGGGAAGAGACCAACACAGACAAUCCAGUGUGGAGUCAGCAGUCAGAGACGAGCCCAUCGAAACAGGAAUGUGGAAAAUACACCAGAUUUGCUAAAUCGAAAUGUAUUACUGUGUACCAACAAGGCUAGAUGGUAGAAAAGCCAUAAUGAC